rnacentral:rRNA from 1 species
GUUCCCCAAGGCCACGAUGAAAAACGACCUGGGAGGGGAUCGGCCCAACUGGGGUGUAAACCGGGCCCAGAUUCUUACGGGAGCAGCAGUAGGGAAUUUUCUGGCAAUGAACGAAAGUUUGACCGAGCAACGCCGCGUGAGUGAAGAAGGUUUUCGGAUCGUAAAACUUUGUUGUUAGAGAAGAACAAGGACGUUAGUAACUGAACGUCCCCUGACGGUAUCUAACCAGAAAGCCACGGCUAACUACGUGCCAGCAGCCGCGGUAAUACGUAGGUGGCAAGCGUUGUCCGGAUUUAUUGGGCGUAAAGCGAGCGCAGGCGGUUUCUUAAGUCUGAUGUGAAAGCCCCCGGCUCAACCGGGGAGGGUCAUUGGAAACUGGGAGACUUGAGUGCAGAAGAGGAGAGUGGAAUUCCAUGUGUAGCGGUGAAAUGCGUAGAUAUAUGGAGGAACACCAGUGGCGAAGGCGGCUCUCUGGUCUGUAACUGACGCUGAGGCUCGAAAGCGUGGGGAGCAAACAGGAUUAGAUACCCUGGUAGUCCACGCCGUAAACGAUGAGUGCUAAGUGUUGGAGGGUUUCCGCCCUUCAGUGCUGCAGCAAACGCAUUAAGCACUCCGCCUGGGGAGUACGACCGCAAGGUUGAAACUCAAAGGAAUUGACGGGGGCCCGCACAAGCGGUGGAGCAUGUGGUUUAAUUCGAAGCAACGCGAAGAACCUUACCAGGUCUUGACAUCCUUUGACCACUCUAGAGAUAGAGCUUUCCCUUCGGGGACAAAGUGACAGGUGGUGCAUGGUUGUCGUCAGCUCGUGUCGUGAGAUGUUGGGUUAAGUCCCGCAACGAGCGCAACCCUUAUUGUUAGUUGCCAUCAUUUAGUUGGGCACUCUAGCGAGACUGCCGGUGACAAACCGGAGGAAGGUGGGGAUGACGUCAAAUCAUCAUGCCCCUUAUGACCUGGGCUACACACGUGCUACAAUGGGAAGUACAACGAGUCGCUAGACCGCGAGGUCAUGCAAAUCUCUUAAAGCUUCUCUCAGUUCGGAUUGCAGGCUGCAACUCGCCUGCAUGAAGCCGGAAUCGCUAGUAAUCGCGGAUCAGCACGCCGCGGUGAAUACGUUCCCGGGCCUUGUACACACCGCCCGUCACACCACGAGAGUUUGUAACACCCGAAGUCGGUGAGGUAACCUUUUUGGAGCCAGCCGCCUAAGGU